rnacentral:rRNA from 1 species
UACGGAGGGUGCGAGCGUUGUCCGGAAUCACUGGGCGUAAAGGGCGCGUAGGCGGCGCGGGAAGUCAUCGGUGAAAGUUCAGGGCUCAACUCUGAAUCGGCCGGUGAUACUCUCGUGCUUGAGCACUGUAGAGGCAGGUGGAAUUCCGGGUGUAGCGGUGGAAUGCGUAGAGAUCCGGAAGAACACCGGUGGCGAAAGCGGCUACUCUGGGACGGUACUGGACGCUGAGACGCGAAAAGCGUGGGGGAGCAAACAGGG